rnacentral:rRNA from 1 species
AUUGAACGCUGGCGGCAUGCCUUACACAUGCAAGUCGAACGGUAACAGGCUUAGCUGAUGCGUCGCGAACGGGUCGGUAAUAUAACGGAACGGGCCGUGCCCUGGCGUAUAGCCUGGCGAAAGUCGGGUUAAUACCGCAUACGACCCGAGGGUGGAAGGGGGGGAUUGGAAGGCCUUUCGCUAUUGGGGCGGCCGAUGGCAGAUUAGCUAGUUGGUGGGGUAAAAGCUCAGCAAGGCGACGAUCUGUAGCUGGUCUGAGAGGACGACCAGCCACACUGGGACUGAGACACGGCCCAGACUCCUACGGGAGGCAGCAGUGGGGAAUUUUGGACAAUGGGCGCAAGCCUGAUCCAGCCAUGCCGCGUGCGGGAAGAAGGCCUUCGGGUUGUAAACCGCUUUUGUCAGGGAAGAAAACCUUUGGGUUAAUACCUCGGGGGGAUGACGGUACCGGAAGAAUAAGCACCGGCUAACUACGUG